UCUCUGCCUGCAACAUCAUGAUGGAAGUGCCAAGAAGCAAUCAACAGAUGUCAAAGCACUGACAGAAUUACUUUCCUGGGGCACAGAAUGGAUUUUGAGUUCCCAAGUGGAUCAGAAUCUCCAUUAAAUAUAUCCUCAGGAGUCUGAUGGAAAGACUACAAUAUAAGUUUAGUUGCAAGAAGAGGUCUAUUCCCAGCCAUAUUAGCACCUACGUGAUUUAACCAAGUCAACUGAAUUUGAUGUUGUGUCCCAGUAAUGAUUUAAUAAGGAUUAAAGCUUCUGAAGCUUUACAAGAACCUCACAGGAAGUUCUACAUGAUGCAAUCAAGAAAUGCCCUUGGUGAUUGCUGCGGCAAUUUUAAAGACAUCAAGCAUUUUGAAACUUCUGCUUGAAUUUGUACUUUUUAUAUCUUUGGAAAUU